rnacentral:rRNA from 1 species
AACGAACGCUGGCGGCGGGCCUAACACAUGCAAGUCGAACGCUGUAGCAAUACAGAGUGGCAGACGGGUGAGUAACGCGUGGGAACCUUCCCAAUGGUGCGGAAUAGCCCAGGGAAACUUGGGGUAAUACCGCAUAAGCCCUUAGGGGGAAAGAUUUAUCGCCAUUGGAUGGGCCCGCGUCGGAUUAGCUAGUUGGUAGGGUAAUGGCCUACCAAGGCAACGAUCCGUAGCUGGUUUGAGAGAAUGACCAGCCACACUGGGACUGAGACACGGCCCAGACUCCUACGGGAGGCAGCAGCGGGGAAUCUUGGACAAUGAGCGAAAGCCUGAUCCAGCCAUGCCGCGUGAGUGACGAAGGCCUUAGGGUUGUAAAGCUCUUUUGCCGGGGACGAUAAUGACGGUACCCAGAGAAUAAGUCCCGGCUAACUUCGUGCCAGCAGCCGCAGUAAAAC